rnacentral:tRNA from 1 species
GGACUGUAGCUCAGUGGCAGAGUGCUUGCUUCAAGUGUGUAAGGAACUGGGUUCAAUCCUCAGCACCA